GAUGAACGCUGGCGGCGUGCCUAAUACAUGCAAGUCGAGCGAACGGACGAGAAGCUUGCUCCUCUGAUGUUAGCGGCGGACGGGUGAGUAACACGUGGAUAACCUACCUAUAAGACUGGGAUAACUUCGGGAAACCGGAGCUAAUACCGGAUAAUAUUUUGAACCGCAUGGUUCAAUAGUGAAAGACGGUUUUGCUGUCACUUAUAGAUGGAUCCGCGCUUCAUUAGCUAGUUGGUAAGGUAACGGCUUACCAAGGCAACGAUGCGUAGCCGACCUGAGAGGGUGAUCGGCCACACUGGAACUGAGACACGGUCCAGACUCCUACGGGAGGCAGCAGUAGGGAAUCUUCCGCAAUGGGCGAAAGCCUGACGGAGCAACGCCGCGUGAGUGAUGAAGGUCUUCGGAUCGUAAAACUCUGUUAUUAGGGAAGAACAAAUGUGUAAGUAACUGUGCACGUCUUGACGGUACCUAAUCAGAAAGCCACGGCUAACUACGUG
rnacentral:rRNA from 1 species